AUUGAACGCUAGCGGCAUGCCUUACACAUGCAAGUCGAACGGCAGCGGGGGAGCUUGCUCCCGCCGGCGAGUGGCGAACGGGUGAGUAAUACAUCGGAACGUACCCAGUAGCGGGGGAUAGCCCGGCGAAAGCCGGAUUAAUACCGCAUACGCCCUACGGGGGAAAGGGGGGGAUCGGAAGACCUCUCCCUAUUGGAGCGGCCGAUGGCUGAUUAGCUAGUUGGUGGGGUAAAGGCCUACCAAGGCGACGAUCAGUAGCUGGUCUGAGAGGACGACCAGCCACACUGGGACUGAGACACGGCCCAGACUCCUACGGGAGGCAGCAGUGGGGAAUUUUGGACAAUGGGCGCAAGCCUGAUCCAGCAAUGCCGCGUGCAGGAAGAAGGCCUUCGGGUUGUAAACUGCUUUUGUCAGGGAAGAAAUCUUCUGGGCUAAUACCCCGGGAGGAUGACGGUACCUGAAGAAUAAGCACCGGCUAACUACGUGCCAGCCGCCGCAGUAAGAC
rnacentral:rRNA from 1 species